AACGCGAAGAACCUUACCCAGGCUCGAAAUGUAAUAGACAGCACCAGAGAUGGUGUGUUCCGCAAGGACUGUUAUAUAGGUGCUGCAUGGCUGUCGUCAGCUCGUGCCGUGAGGUGUUUGGUUAAGUCCAGCAACGAGCGCAACCCUUAUCAUUAGUUGCCAACGCGUCAAGGCGGGGACUCUAGUGAGACUGCCCGGGUUAACCGGGAGGAAGGUGAGGAUGACGUCAAGUCCGCAUGGCCUUUAUGUCUGGGGCUACACACGUGCUACAAUGGUCGGUACAGAAGGCAGCAAGACCGCAAGGUGGAGCAAAUCCGUAAAGCCGAUCACAGUUCAGAUUGUAGUCUGCAACUCGACUACAUGAAGUUGGAAUUGCUAGUAAUGACGUGUCAGCAACAACGUCGUGAAUACGUUCCCGGGCCUUGUA
rnacentral:rRNA from 1 species